UACGGAGGGGGCUAGCGUUGUUCGGAAUUACUGGGCGUAAUGCGCACGUAGGCGGAUCGGAAAGUCAGGGGUGAAAUCCCGGGGCUCAACCCCGUAACUGCCUUUGAAACUCCCGGUCUGGAGGUCGAGAGAGGUGGGUGGAAUUCCGAGUGUAGAGGUGAAAUUCGUAGAUAUUCGGAGGAACACCAGUGGCGAAGGCGGCCCACUGGCUCGAUACUGACGCUGAGGUGCGAAAGCGUGGGGAGCAAACAGG
rnacentral:rRNA from 1 species